GACGAACGCUGGCGGCGUGCUUAGCACAUGCAAGUCGAACGAAGAGCGAUGGAAGCUUGCUUCUAUCAAUCUUAGUGGCGAACGGGUGAGUAACGCGUAAUCAACCUGCCCUUCAGAGGGGGACAACAGUUGGAAACGACUGCUAAUACCGCAUACGAUCUAAUCUCGGCAUCGAGGAUAGAUGAAAGGUGGCCUCUACAUGUAAGCUAUCACUGAAGGAGGGGAUUGUGUCUGAUUAGCUAGUUGGAGGGGUAACGGCCCACCAAGGCGAUGAUCAGUAGCCGGUCUGAGAGGAUGAACGGCCACAUUGGGACUGAGACACGGCCCAGACUCCUACGGGAGGCAGCAGUGGGGAAUCUUCCGCAAUGGACGAAAGUCUGACGGAGCAACGCCGCGUGAGUGAUGACGGCCUUCGGGUUGUAAAGCUCUGUUAAUCGGGACGAAAGGCCUUCUUGCGAAUAGUGAGAAGGAUUGACGGUACCGGAAUAGAAAGCCACGGCUAACUACGUG
rnacentral:rRNA from 1 species